AUUGAACGCUGGCGGCAGGCCUAACACAUGCAAGUCGAACGGUAACAGGAAGCAGCUUGCUGCUUUGCUGACGAGUGGCGGACGGGUGAGUAAUGUCUGGGAAACUGCCUGAUGGAGGGGGAUAACUACUGGAAACGGUAGCUAAUACCGCAUAACGUCGCAAGACCAAAGAGGGGGACCUUCGGGCCUCUUGCCAUCGGAUGUGCCCAGAUGGGAUUAGCUAGUAGGUGGGGUAACGGCUCACCUAGGCGACGAUCCCUAGCUGGUCUGAGAGGAUGACCAGCCACACUGGAACUGAGACACGGUCCAGACUCCUACGGGAGGCAGCAGUGGGGAAUAUUGCACAAAGGGCGCAAGCCUGAUGCAGCCAUGCCGCGUGUAUGAAGAAGGCCUUCGGGUUGUAAAGUACUUUCAGCGGGGAGGAAGGGAGUAAAGUAAAUACCUUUGCUCAUUGACGUUACCCGCAGAAGAAGCACCGGCUAACUCCGUG
rnacentral:rRNA from 1 species